GUAAACGGCGGCCGUAACUAUAACGGUCCUAAGGUAGCGAAAUUCCUUGUCGGGUAAGUUCCGACCUGCACGAAUGGCGUAAUGAUGGCCAGGCUGUCUCCACCCGAGACUCAGUGAAAUUGAACUCGCUGUGAAGAUGCAGUGUACCCGCGGCAAGACGGAAAGACCCCGUGAACCUUUACUAUAGCUUGACACUGAACAUUGAGCCUUGAUGUGUAGGAUAGGUGGGAGGCUUUGAAGUGUGGACGCCAGUCUGCAUGGAGCCGGCCUUGAAAUACCACCCUUUAAUGUUUGAUGUUCUAACGUGGACCCGUGAUCCGGGUUGCGGACAGUGUCUGGUGGGUAGUUUGACUGGGGCGGUCUCCUCCUAAAGAGUAACGGAGGAGCACGAAGGUUGGCUAAUCCUGGUCGGACAUCAGGAGGUUAGUGCAAUGGCAUAAGCCAGCUUGACUGCGAGCGUGACGGCGCGAGCAGGUGCGAAAGCAGGUCAUAGUGAUCCGGUGGUUCUGAAUGGAAGGGCCAUCGCUCAACGGAUAAAAGGUACUCCGGGGAUAACAGGCUGAUACCGCCCAAGAGUUCAUAUCGACGGCGGUGUUUGGCACCUCGAUGUCGGCUCAUCACAUCCUGGGGCUGAAGUAGGUCCCAAGGGUAUGGCUGUUCGCCAUUUAAAGUGGUACGCGAGCUGGGUUUAGAACGUCGUGAGACAGUUCGGUCCCUAUCUGCCGUGGGCGCUGGAGAACUGAGGGGGGCUGCUCCUAGUACGAGAGGACCGGAGUGGACGCAUCACUGGUGUUCGGGUUGUCAUGCCAAUGGCACUGCCCGGUAGCUAAAUGCGGAAGAGAUAAGUGCUGAAAGCAUCUAAGCACGAAACUUGCCCCGAGAUGAGUUCUCCCUGAGACUUUAGGUCUCCUGAAGGAACGUUGAAGACGACGACGUUGAUAGGCCGGGUGUGUAAGCGCAGCGAUGCGUUGAGCUAACCGGUACUAAUGAACCGUGAGGCUUAACCUUACA
rnacentral:rRNA from 1 species